UACAGAGGUCUCAAGCGUUGUUUCGGAUUCAUUGGGCGUAAAGGGUGUGUAGGUGGCGCCGUAAGUCGGGUGUGAAAUUUUCGGAGCUUAACUCCGAAACUGCAUUCGAUACUGCGGUGCUUGAGGACUGGAGAGGAGACUGGAAUUCAUGGUGUAGCAGUGAAAUGCGUAGAGAUCAUGAGGAAGACCAGUGGCGAAGGCGGGUCUCUGGACAGUUCCUGACACUGAGACACGAAGGCCAGGGGAGCAAAACGGG
rnacentral:rRNA from 1 species